rnacentral:rRNA from 1 species
UACGUAGGGGGGCGAGCGUUGUCCGGAGUUACUGGGCGUAAAGGGCGUGCAGGCGGUGCGGUAAGUUUGGAGUGACAGUUGGUGGCUUAACUGCCAAAGUGCUUCGAAAACUGAGAGACUUGAGGGCUUCAGAGGGACACGGAAUUCCGGGUGGAGUGGUGAAAUGCGUAGAGAUCCGGAGGAACACCAAAGGCGAAGGCAGUGUCCUGGGGAGUACCUGACACUCAGGUGCGAAAGCCAGGGGAGCGAACGGG